rnacentral:lncRNA from 1 species
UCUGUUGUUAUAAAUAUCAAUGUUUCAAAUCAGUAUGACCCUUCAAAAUCUUUGUUCAUUUUUUCAACAGAUACAACAAAUAUUACCUGUGUUAUAGGUUUGAAAAAUAUGUUUGGAGUAAAAUUGAUAUUAACAGAAUGUUUGGUUCCAAUUGCUCUUCAAAAGGCAUAUUGAGCUCAUGAAUCCACAUCCAAAGAAGAUCUCAGACCAUGUUUAGAAAGUGCUUAGCAGGCACUUGCGUUGAAUUUAUGAAGUGUUUAUUAGAUCACGUUCAGAGUACAUUAAAAUUCAUGGAUAAAUAAAAAUCUGCAUAUACCAAAAUAUGAACAAUGACACAUUGACAAACAUUAUUAUAUUUGCCAUUAAAAUAGCGGAGUAUAUUGGUUACAAGUUUUUAAUGAAAUGUAAACGAACUUAGCAAGAAAUCAUUCAAUAAUUCGAAUAAUAAAUAAUUCCAUAAUGAUAUGAUGCAACAUCAAUAUUUACUCAAUAUAAUAAAAAAUAAAUAUUCUCAACCAAUUUAAUUAUGAAACACACCGGAAGUAUUCAUACAAUAACUUCACACCUGCAUAAUGCAUAUAUAAAUAUUCUCAACAAGGGCUAAUUUGAGGCUGAAAUGAGGAAGCGAAAAACCGAGUAGUUUGACGAGAUGAGACUGAUAAGCGGAAGAUAGAGCAGAAGAGAGACACUAUAGUGAUGGUAGUGGUUGUAGGAUGGAAGAGAAGAGAAAUGCAAGAGGGAGUGUGACAAUAGCCUGCAGAUUGGAGAGGCAGACGUACAGUCAGGCUGGUUGUACAGUCAAGAAUAUAAAAGCAAGAGAAACAGGAACGAUCGUUGAAAUCGCUAGCAGACUAUAAGUUUAUAAUACACUGUUGGCGCUGUCUGACCAUAGCCUGAUAUUACUACUCGUAUAAAUACAAAUAUCCUCAUUCGGGACCCAUCCUAGAGAUUCUUAUUUCCUUUUUCAAAUCUUUAUGUAAGUUUUAAACCAUUAGUAAGAGAUCUGGAUGAAUGUUUUAUAAAAUGAAAUAAAAAAACGAGAAAAAAAUAAUUUUCUUCAAUUGCAAACAGGAAGAGCUUUUUAGUAGCGAUAUUAUUAAGUCUAUCGGCAGUCAAUUUAGUGAAGAGAAAGACAUAGAAAACAACUUGGCGGGUAAUUCUCGGUAAAGACGACAGCCAAUUGGUUCGGCCAUUACCUGACAUUAUAUUUUAACGCUAGCAGGCAGAACGAAAUGCUUCCGGUAAUCAUUUUGCUGUCGGGCAUCUUUCGUUUUAGGCCAAGUUUCGUAUAAGUCUGAGCAAGAGAAGAAAGAGAAGAGAAACCGGAGGUGGACAAGUGGAUGCUGUGGGGGGAUAGAGGGGGGCUGCUGAGAGAAGAGUUUGGUAUAUAGAAGAUAGAAGGAAUGAAGGGUAGAGAAAACUUGGAAACGCGAGUCUGGGCCGGAAGAAGUCCGUCUCAGUGUUCGGAUGCCGUAGCUGUGGGGCGUAAUAUUGAUCAUGGAGUAAGCGGGGGUGUCUGCACUCCCCCUUAUCCCUCUUGGAAGUCGCACGGUGGAGAGAAAGAGCCGGUAACUGAGAGAAAGAGGAGCAACCCAUGGAGCUAGCAACCAGAGAGUGUUGCAACAGACCAACUGCAUCU